rnacentral:tRNA from 1 species
GGAAUUGUAGCUCAGGGGUUGAGCACUUGCCUCACAUGCAUGGGACACUGGGUUCAAUCCUCAGCACCA